CUAAACACCAACGGAUGAACGU
rnacentral:miRNA from 1 species